AGGAGGAACAGCCCCAGUGGCGGGGCCAGCUCUGCAGCCCUGGAGUCAGCCCCCGCAGUAACUACAUAACUACAGAGCUCUGGUUCUGCAGGGCCUGGAGGCUCUGGGGCGGG
rfam:Canis lupus familiaris chromosome 29, whole genome shotgun sequence.